rnacentral:rRNA from 1 species
CCUACGGGCGGCAGCAGUGAGGAAUAUUGGUCAAUGGGCGCGAGCCUGAACCAGCCAAGUAGCGUGAAGGAUGACUGCCCUACGGGUUGUAAACUUCUUUUAUAAAGGAAUAAAGUGAGGCACUUGUGCCUUUUUGUAUGUACCUUAUGAAUAAGGAUCGGCUAACGCCGUGCCAGCAGCCGCGGUAAUACGGAGGGUCCGAGCGUUAUCCGGAUUUAUUGGGGUUAAAGGGAGCGUAGAUGGGUUGUUAAGUCAGUUGUGAAAGUUUGCGGCUCAACCGUAAAAUUGCAAUUGAUACUGGCAGCCUUGAGUACAGUUGAGGUAGGCGGAAUUCGUGGUGUAGCGGUGAAAUGCUUAGAUAUCACGAAGAACUCCGAUUGCGAAGGCAGCUUACUAAACUGCAACUGACAUUGAUGCACGAAAGUGUGGGUAUCAAACAGGAUUAGAUACCCUGGUAGUC